AUAUUUUAGAAAAAUUUAAAUAAUAAAAACUUAAGUGUAUAAAAAUCUCAAUGUUUUAAGGAAGUUUACGAUUUUAUGUCGACGCCUAUGGGCUGCAGGUUGGACAGCCCUGUAUUAAACAAAAUGACAUAUUUUUAUGAAGUAUCAUUUAAAAGAAAAGGCAAAUGUGAGAAAUUUUAUUUAGACUUGUUUUGGCUACCUAGAAAAGUUGUAUCGAGAGAGAGAGAGGGCAUGACUAAACCAAAUAGUCCACUCAAUGCCGUUUUUCGUUACACCAAAAUUCAACUUGCUAUGACUUUCUUUCUAUAUUAAUUAUUAUUAAUAUGGAAUUUAUAUUAGAAUAAUUGAAUAAAAUAUAAAAUGAAUGCAAAAUAUGAAC
rnacentral:lncRNA from 1 species